CCUAAUACCAAGAGAGACAUCUCUAAGUCACAGAACAUCUGACCAAAUGAUCCGGCCACAUAGACCGAUCAACGGACCAAGUUACCCUAGGGAUAACAGCGCAAUCCCCUCCAAGAGUUCAUAUCGACAAGGGGGUUUACGACCUCGAUGUUGGAUCAGGACAUCCUAAUGGUGCAGCCGCUAUUAAGGGUUCGUUUGUUCAACG
rnacentral:rRNA from 1 species